GACAAACGCUGGCGGCGUGCCUAAUACAUGCAAGUCGAACGACGAAAGCCUUCGGGCAAGUAAGAGUGGCGCACGGGCGAGGAACACGUAGAUAAUCUGCCCUUCAGUGGGGAAUAACUCUCCGAAAGGAGUGCUAAUACCGCAUAAGACCACAAGCUCUGCGGAGCAAGGGGUUAAAGGAUUUAUUCGCUGAAGGAGGAGUCUGCGUCCGAUUAGCUAGUUGGUGAGGUAAUGGCUUACCAAGGCAACGAUCGGUGGAUGGUCUGAGAGGAUGAUCAUCCGCACUGGAACUGAGACACGGUCCAGACUCCUACGGGAGGCAGCAGUAGGGAAUAUUGCACAAUGGGGGAAACCCUGAUGCAGCAACGCCGCGUGAGUGAUGAAGGCUCUAGGGUCGUAAAGCUCUGUCGUAUGGGAAGAAAAAAAUGACGGUACCAUACAAGAAAGGACCGGCCAACUUCGUGCCAGCCGCCGCGGUAA
rnacentral:rRNA from 1 species